ACAUUCUGCCUGUCUGAGAGCCGGGGGGAAGCAAGGACGCGAGUGAGGCGGGGCGAGUCCCGGUCCGGCGCGCACAGCGGACCGAGCGGGUGGCCCUCUGCGGGCUGCCCCUCUCCAUCCCUCCGCGGAUCCCCCGCCCUUACCUCCGGGCGCGAGAGUGUCGACUGGAGAAGGUGCUAGGGAGCGGCGAGCUGCCUGGGGGUCGGGCUCAGCGGCUGCCAGGGACGGCGGCGUCGCCCGCGGGGUCGCUGCUCAUGGCUUGUCGCGCCCGAGCACUGCGGCCGCGGCCACGGCGGCGCCUUCCUCCUACUUCUCUUCGCGGGCUUCCAGCCGGGACGCAGCUAACGCCCCAGCCCCGCAAGCCCUCCUCCCCUCCGCCUCCCCGGCCGCGGACGGAGCCGCCUCCAGCGCCGCCCCGCACGCAGCCCGGCUAGCGGCAGCCAGCGCCGCCCAGCGCCCGGCCCCGGGGUCGCCACCGCCCGCCGAGUCGACUCCGCGGUGCCAGCCCCGCUGUGACGCAGGCCGCGCCGCCCGGGAACUUCCUCCCCUGCAGAGACCACCUCGCUCCCGGGACUCGCCAGCGAGGGAUGCCGCCGGCCGCCGGGGGCCUUCUCCAGGACCAGGAGAGAAAUCCUCUCUCCGCUUCACGACGCGGCCACUCCCACCCCUGAGACGCCCACCUGGCGGACUCUGAGGGAGGAUUCGGCUGCGUCUAAUACCACCUCCACCCCUCAUCCCUCACAAUGCGCGGAAAACCACAGGCGGCUGUGCGCGCAGCGUCGGCUCAGCCACCGCAGCUCCUCCCCUGGGAUGAAAAAGCACUCUGACGUCUUGAAAGCUGGCAGCUCUCUGUUUGGAAAAUCUCUGCCCAGUGAAAAAAUGUACCGACAAGAUUACUAAGUAACACAGUCUUCUGGGAAUGCCUUAUCAAUGCCAGCUAUUUGAAGAGCACCCAAAGUCAAACUAGUGCUCCGCGCUGGCAGUCUGGAAAAGGCAGAUGUAUAAACCAAAAAGGAUGGAGUUCAGAGACCUUCCAUGUUGAUGAACAAGAACACAUUCACCUGCUGUAGGGGUAGGUGUACCCCAAAACUCCACUGAUACAGAAGCUUCUAUACUCAAGACCCUUCUAUACUCAAGACCCUGGAUCUUACCCUAUAUAUCUCUUCAUCUGGCUAUUUAUUUGCAUCUUUUAAUAUAUCCUUUGUAAUAAACUAGUAAUCUAGAAAGCAAACUUUUCCUAGCUCUGUAGGCCAUUCUAGUAAAUGAUUAAACCUGAGGAGGAGUUAUGGGAACCUUUGAUUUGUAGACAAGUUGGACAAAAGUGGUAUAUAUCCUAAUAUAACAUGGGAACCUGCCACUUAUGAUUGGCGUGUGAAAUUGGGGGAUGGGGAAGCAGUCUUGUGGGACUGAGCCCUUAGCCUGUGGGGUCUAAUGCUAUCUUCAGGUAAUAUCAGAACUGAGUUAAAUUAUAGGAUACCAGUCAGUGUCCAUUGGAGAACUGAAUUAUUGUGAGGAGAAACCCACACAUUUGGUGGCUAAAAGUAUUGAUGUGAGUAGUAGCAUAUAGGAGUUUUUUGCUAUAUACAUAUGUAGUGUAAGUUUAAAGUAAAAAGUUUUGUAUUGUCAGGAGUGACUUCUUUGCACCUAAAUAUCACUGCUAUAACUGCGUUACUAAGGAAUAGUUGCUUGCUUUUAUGUAUUUGGCACCUGCAGCUACUGUUCUAAAAAGUUUGCAUGUGUUAACCUAUUAAUUAAAUCUACAAAUGACUGGCUGUACCCAUGAAGUGAGUUAUUCUAAAGACAAUGGAACAUUUAAAUGGUUUAGAAAUUUUUUGAUUAAAAAUACAUUAAUAAUAUCUCCUAAAGAAUGUGACUGAUUUUUUUCCAGGGCUCAAAUUUUUCAGUCUU
rnacentral:lncRNA from 10 species